rnacentral:tRNA from 1 species
AAGUUUUUAAGUUAUUUAAACUAUCAACCUUCAAAGUUGAAAAUGAGCUUAAAGUAGUCAAAACUUG